rnacentral:rRNA from 1 species
GACGAACGCUGGCGGCGUGCCUAAUACAUGCAAGUAGAACGCACAGUUUAUACCGUAGCUUGCUACACCAUAGACUGUGAGUUGCGAACGGGUGAGUAACGCGUAGGUAACCUGCCUGGUAGCGGGGGAUAACUAUUGGAAACGCUAGCUAAUACCGCAUAAUAUUAAUUAUUGCAUGAUAAUUAAUUGAAAGGUGCAAUUGCACCACUACCAGAUGGUCCUGCGUUGUAUUAGCUAGUAGGUGAGGUAACGGCUCACCUAGGCGACGAUACAUAGCCGACCUGAGAGGGUGAUCGGCCACACUGGGACUGAGACACGGCCCAGACUCCUACGGGAGGCAGCAGUAGGGAAUCUUCGGCAAUGGACGAAAGUCUGACCGAGCAACGCCGCGUGAGUGAAGAAGGUUUUCGGAUCGUAAAGCUCUGUUGUAAGAGAAGAACGGGUGUGAGAGUGGAAAGUUCACACUGUGACGGUAUCUUACCAGAAAGGGACGGCUAACUACGUG